CAGCCACCGCGGUAAUACGAAGGGGGCUAGCGUUGCUCGGAAUGACUGGGCGUAAAGGGCGCGUAGGCGGAUGGCACAGUCAGAUGUGAGAUUCCCGGGCUUAACCUGGGGGCUGCAUUUGAUACGUGUUGUCUAGAGUGAGGAAGAGGGUUGUGGAAUUCCCAGUGUAGAGGUGAAAUUCGUAGAUAUUGGGAAGAACACCGGUGGCGAAGGCGGCAACCUGGUCCUUGACUGACGCUGAGGCGCGAAAGCGUGGGGAGCAAACAGGAUUAGAUACCCCCGUAGUCCCUGUCUCUUAUAC
rnacentral:rRNA from 1 species